AACGAAUUAGCAAGAUUACAAAAUCAAAUUCUUUACAAAGCACAUAGCAAAUGCGAUACUAAGGAUAGUUUAGAGACAAGGUUCACGCACAUGAUUUGUGGCAGAAAAUGGCAAAUGCUUGGACCUGGAUUUUUCUUUCCCAAAUUAGUCCUACUGAAAUACUUUGCUUCUCAUGAAUUCCAUUGGGUUUUCAAUGAUCAUGACAAUUCAAUUUCACAUUCGGUAUAGUAAGAGCAGGAAUCAUGCUCAAAUGCAACAAUUGAGCAAAAACUUAAUAGGUUUAUAUAAAAUUAAAUGAUUUGGAUCAUGACUAGCAUCUGGCAUACACCCAGUGUACGGCUCUUCUACAAUUCCCAACAAAAGAAAAUUCGUUUUGAUCAACCACAAAGAGCUCUGCUCUCAAGCACAGACGUCAUAGCAGCCUCAAGUUCCUGCUUUGAAAGAAGCCUGGUGAAGUGAACGUAUCCUGCCAUGUGAGAUCCAUCAACUGCCUCCAAGUUUAUUGGUUUCACUGAGAAAUGGGAUUCAAGAGCCUUCAGGAUUCUCUCUAUGAAAACUGAUCUUGGCAUAUAUUCCUUCAUUCGACAGACAAAUUCAGCGUGGUUUCUUGCCUACAGAGUACAACAUUAAUGUAAACUUUAUACACCAGCCCAAGCAAUUAUAAUGAUAAGGGCAACGAUGUGCUGCAGUUCAUGCUUUUGGUGGCCAUAGCUGAAAAACUAAAUGAAAACAAUAUCAAAAGCAUCAUGAAGGAAAGAUGAUGGUCUAUUAAACACAGUUAUUGCCCUCUCAUUGCUGCUUCCACAAAAUGUUCUGUGUUACACCAGAUUGCAAAAACAACAUUAUUAUGUUUUGAAAUUAUUGCUUAGGCCCAGUCCACUAUGGACCCAUAUAUUUAAUAGGUAUGUCCACAUCUUAGAUCCAUAGCAGACUGAUUCUAGGUAAGAAAAAUACUAUUAUGUUAUCAUGCACCACUAGGGAAGGAGCAUCGUUGUUGUUAAAAUUGCAAAAUAUCUAAUGCGUGCUACAAUCAAGUCUAGAGAGCUAGUUCAUCAUGUACGCAUGCAAAGAUUCUUAUAGAUAAAAUAGUCCAGAACAUCAACAUGAGAAUUCAUAAUGGAAUGCUUAUGCAAAGAUCCACAAUGACAUGAACAAUAAAAAUUUUACCCAGCAUUACAAUCUUUUCAUUACUUUUUUCAAAUUUUAGUAAUUGCCACUUCUAAUGUUGUAGGGAUCAGCAAUGAAAACAAAUGUAAUAAUUUAAUUCAACAUUAACAAAUCAAAAUUGUAAAUGAUUCACUAAAAAAGGAAAAAAUUAUAACGCUUCAGAAAAAGAUAAUGGAUGAGGAAACAAAACAAAAUAAGAACCUACAGAUCUGUACUUAGGAGCCCGAGCAGGCAGCUUCAAGUAUGCCAUGUUCCUACUGUCAUAAUCCCAUAAAAAGGAGGUGUGGUGUAUCCAUCGACUUUUGAUUAUAGAUUGAGCAUUUCCACCAAAUUUGUGAUCACCAAACACGUAAUCAUUCUCACGCAGUUGGAAACCAUCAAUCCCUUGAAACACUUCACUGUACAACAGACCACUCCAAGACAUGAUUGAACGAGGAUAUGGUUGCACUCCAGGAACAACAUCCUUGUUGCAUAUGAGAGUGACAAAAAUAGUCCCGCUAUCAACAAUAACAGUGCCACCCCCACUAAACCUUUUGAUGACAGGAACAUGAUCUCGCAACACAGGUCCAAUCUCAAUAAGUUCAGAAGGCUUCCCGGAGAUUCCCAUGACUAUAGCAGGGGCAUUUGUUCCAUCAUUAACAAUACACCAAUUAUCUGAAGAGGUACGGAGCAGCUUUUCCUCCAAAUGAAGUUGCUCCAAUAUGGGUAAUCCUUUGAAUCGGACAAGAUUCAUAAAUGGAAGCCCCACUUUUGUUGCUUGACGUAACAUGGUCAUUAAGCAGGACAAUUGGAUCAGGCACUUCCCCCUCUGCUUCAAAAAUUCACUAGUAAGCAAGAAACUCAUCAACUAUUAUCAUUAGUGGUAAAAACCAAUGAGUACCUAAAUAAAAGAGUCUUAAUUACUCUCAGAUGAUAAAUUACAGUGCAUGACUAUAGCUCAUAUAAUGUUAAUGAAAAUAUAUAUGUUUUCUAACUCCGUAACGAUACUAAUGAAUAUUAAAAGUGAAUUCGAACUAAAAGUUUUCAGAUUGAGAGUGACUAAUUACUAUCGAUGCGACAUGAAGCUACCACCUACACGGGUUGGCGACGCCGGAUAUGGAUGUCCUGACGACCUGCCAAAGGGCCAAUGCGCUGCAACGUCAGGGUUUUAACCGGAUUGGGAGUGGAAAAAUCGCGUCCUUUACUUUCCAAGAUACUUUCUCUCUCUUGUUUUCCGGCGUGAAUAUCAACUAUAAUUGGCGGCGAGCUCGGUUAGAACAGUUGGGUGUUGGCUUUUCUGGUUUGAACGAUUUUCCCACGAUACAAAGCUUGCUAGAGCUUUUCCAGCUUAAGAGGAAAUGAAUGGGUACUGUCACCGAG
rnacentral:misc_RNA from 1 species